AGAGUUUGAUCCUGGCUCAGGACGAACGCUGGCGGCGUGCUUAACACAUGCAAGUCACGGGGGCCCGCAAGGGUAACCGGCGAACGGGUGCGUAACACGUGAGCAACCUGCCGAUCUGAGGGGGAUAGCCGGCCCAACGGCCGGGUAAUACCGCAUACGCUCAGCGAGGGGAGUCCCUUGUUGAGGAAACCUCCGGGGCA
rnacentral:rRNA from 1 species